UACGGCCAUAUCACUUUGGAAUACCGGUUCCUGUACAAUCACUGAAGUUAAGCAACGUCGAAGCUGGUCAUUACCUAGAUGGGUGCCCGCUUGGGAAUACCAGGUGCUGUAA